rnacentral:rRNA from 1 species
CUGCAGCUCGAGUGGUGAUCAUUAUUAUUGGGCCUAAAACGUUCGUAGCCUGUCUUAUAAAUGCCUGGGUAAAUCGUGCCGCUUAACGGUACGAAUUCCGGGUAGACUGUAAGACUUGAGACCGGGUGAGGCUAGAGGUACUCCUGGGGUAGAGGUGAAAUUCUGUAAUCCUAGGGGGACCACCAGUGGCGAAGGCGUCUAGCUAGAACGGGUCUGACGGUGAGGAACGAAGCCCUGGGGCGCAAACCGGAUUAGAUACCCGAGUAGUCC